rnacentral:rRNA from 1 species
GACGAACGCUGGCGGCGUGCCUAAUACAUGCAAGUCGAACGCAGUGGGGACGGGUGAGUAACACGGGGGUAACCUCCCAUCAGAGGGGAUAACACUUGGAAACAGGUGCUAAACCGAUACUGAUGGAUGGACCCGCGGUGCAUUAGCUAGGUGGUGAGGUAACGGCUAACCAAGGCCACGGUGCAUAGCUGACGUGGGGGUGGGAUCGGCACCACGGGGACGGAGACACGGCCCAGACUCCUACGGGAGGCAGCAGUAGGGAAUUUUCGGCAAUGGACGAAAGUCUGACCGAGCAACGCCGCGUGAGGGAAGAAGGUUUUCGGAUCGUAAAACUCUUUUGUUAGAGAAGCGGUAUCUAACCAGAAAGCCACGGCUAACUACGUGCCAGCCGCCGCGGUAAUUC